GAGCUUACAACGUGCCAGGAACCAUGCUAAGUUCUGGGGAGUUAGUGAUGAAUAAGACUGACAUCUUAUCCUGGCCAUCAUGGGGCCCAUAGGCUGAGGAGGAAUCAGACAAAUAGGCAAUUCUAGCACAGUAAGUAUUAUGAUAAAGGAUGUAUAAAGGGCUAAGAGAGCUCACAAGAAGUGAGGGAAAGGAUAUUACAGUGCCUUUAGGAACUAACGGAAGUUCACAGUGGUUGGAACACAGAAGUCAAGAGAGAGAAAGAAAGAAAAAGAGAGAAAGAGGAAAAGAAGGGGCUAGAGGUUGAAGACCACAGAGGGCCAAAUCAGGAAGAGAUUUGUGCAUUAUGCUCAGAAGCCCAAACUCUCUCUUAAGGGCAUCAGGAAACUAUCUAGCACUUUAAGCCAGGGUGUGACAUGAUAAGAUGACCUGGUAGCUUUAUGGAGAAGAACAAUAGUAACAGGUAACCCUUACCGAGUGCUUAUUUAUUCCAUGCUGAGCACUCUACACGCAUUAGCUCAUUAACCUUCACAACAACCCCAGGAAGUAGGUUCUGUUACAAGCCAUUUAAAGAUUAGAGUGAGGCAGAGAGGUAAUGUCACGUGUUCAAUGAUGAAUCCAGGCCAUCUGGCAGGAGACCAAUGAAGAGACUGUUGUACCAGAGAAGCAUCAGCAGAGACAGAGAGCAGUGGCAGGCUGAGAGAAGGGAGGACUUGAGACUACUCAGAGAUUGACUGGAAGUAGGAGAGGGGAAGAAGUUGAUAAGGACACUCCCAUCCCCAGUUUCUGACUUUGAAUUCUACUCCUUUCUAGCUGAUGACCUUGGUUGACUUGCCAAGCCUCAUUUUCAUUAUUGGUGUCAAAGAUAUCACCCUCAAAUUUUAGGUGUGCAUAGAUAUAUGCCAGGCCUCAUUCCAUAGUGGAUUUGAGGUGGCUUACAAGAAAAAGCCAUAUAAUGAAAUGAUUUCUAAAAAGGAUGAAAAGAGGCCCCAUCUCAUAAGGAUUGAAUAAGACGGCACAUAGGGCCCGGACUAGGGUCUGACGCACAGUAAAUGCUUUAUGAGUUUUUGGUGUUUUCCUGACACCCACUGGCUUACACGCCACAUGCUCCUCCUUUCCUGGCACAGGGCCUGGGUUUCCAUCCUUCUUCCUGGCUAACUCUGUUACUCCUAGGUCAUCACCCUACAAUGACAUUAUUUUUGUCCCUCGUCUCAAUUUCUUCCUGUCCAGGGCUUUUCUCUUUCAUUUGUUCGUUAACAGUAGUUCCCAAGUUUUGCACCUCCAAGGAGCUCCUUUGUGACAUCCCCAAGUACAUCAUGUUCGGAAACAAUUUGUUUACCGAAGUGCAUAUGUAGAUUCAUCUGCCCAUUUUUAUUAAUGAAGCACAGAUUUACAUGUUGUCUAUAUAGAUAUGCCAACAAGUCAGAGAUGACCCCACACAAUAACCAAGGUUAUCAGAACUUGACAUAGUGAUUCCCAGGUCAAACAAAAGAAGUAAUAUUACAGUUGGCCCGCGCAGCUUUUCUCUAGAAGAGUGCAAGGCAAAUUGCUCAUGGAUUACUAGUAACACCUUUUGGGACCAGGCUGGGAAUCGGGGGACUUGAAUCAAGUGGAGGCCCCUCUAGCUUGACAAAAUGCCCUGUAGCUAGCCUGAACUUUCUCUUCUACCCACCAUUCUGGUCCCUCCUUUCGUUCACAGCCAGAUUUCUAAGAUGAAUAGUUGGACUCACUCUCCCCUAACGCCUCACCGACUGGCUUUCAACCAGGCCCAGUCUAGAGACAUCGAUCUGGUUUUUGUUUCCGACUUUCCAGCAACCAAGGCCCUGUACACUUUUUCUUCUUCUUUUGUAAUAGCUUCAUGAGAUCUAACUCACAUCUCAUAAAAUGUACCAAUUGAAGGUGUACAGUUCAGUGAUUUUUAGUAUAUUCAGUUAUGCAACCAUCACCACAAUCAAUUUUAGAACAUUUUCACCACCCCAAAGAGAAACCCCACACCCUUUCGCCAUCAGCCUCCAUUACUCCUAUUUCCUCCUGCCCUAGGCAACCACUAAU
ensembl:lncRNA